CCUGACCCUAGAGGUGUUGCAGGUCUGUCUGCUGUGUCACAUGUGUUUCAGUAUGCGGCAGAGAGGAUAGAGGCUAUGUCUAUGCUCUGUUUAGGCAUAUGAACAUUUGAAUGAUUACUAUUCUAACAUU